rnacentral:lncRNA from 1 species
AUGGAAAAAAAAUUUUACUAAAGGAUAUUUUUAUAAAAAUAAUUUUUUUUUGAAAAAUGGAUAAAGUUAAUAUUAGUUAAUACAAAAAUUUUAAAAUGAAUUAAAGAAGAAAUUUUUUAAAAAUUAUAAGGAAGAAAAAUGUACAUUUUAUAAAUAGAAGGAAGGAGAGUAUUAUUUUAGCAUUUCUCAAGGGAAGAGAAUGAAAUUUUCUCUUAUUUAAAUAUUGCAACUUAAUUAUUUGUACUUGUAUAUAUAUUGUUGAAUAUGUUUAUAAUUAAUUAUGAGAGCAUUUUCAAUGCUAAUUUUAAUUUUAUUUUAUUUUAGAUCUAUAAAAAUAUUUGUGAGACUAUACAUUAUAAAUAGUGAUUUAAAACUAAAAAUAAAUUUUGUUCCUCUAAUACCUAAUAUUAGUUCAAUUAGAAUUUUAUUUUAUUUUUAAUUAUUUUAUCA